AUUGACCGCUGGCAGCAGGCCUAAUACAUGCAAGUCGAGCGGAGCGGCGGACGGGUGAGUAAUGCCUAGGAAUCUGCCUGGUAGUGGGGGAUAACGUCCGGCAAUGGGCGAUAAUACAGCAUACUAUCAGAUGCACCUAGGUCGGAUUAGCUAGUGGGUGGGGUAAAGGCCUACAACGGCGACGACCCGUAACUGGUCUGAGAGGCUGAUCAGUCACACUGGAACUGAGAAACGGUCCAGACUCCUACGGGAUGCAGCAGUGGGGAAUAUUGGACAAUGGGCGAAAGCCUGAUCCAGCCAUGCCGCGUGUGUGAAGAAGUUCUUCGGAUUGUAAAGCACUUUAAGUUGGGAGGCGUUACCAACAGAAUAAGCACCGGCUAACUUCGUGCCAGCAGCCGCGGUAAUAC
rnacentral:rRNA from 1 species